rnacentral:rRNA from 1 species
GGGUUGUGAGGUUAAGCGACUAAGCGUACACGGUGGAUGCCCUGGCAGUCAGAGGCGAUGAAGGACGUGCUAAUCUGCGAUAAGCGUCGGUAAGGUGAUAUGAACCGUUAUAACCGGCGAUUUCCGAAUGGGGAAACCCAGUGUGUUUCGACACACUAUCAUUAACUGAAUCCAUAGGUUAAUGAGGCGAACCGGGGGAACUGAAACAUCUAAGUACCCCGAGGAAAAGAAAUCAACCGAGAUUCCCCCAGUAGCGGCGAGCGAACGGGGAGGAGCCCAGAGCCUGAAUCAGUGUGUGUGUUAGUGGAAGCGUCUGGAAAGGCGCGCGAUACAGGGUGACAGCCCCGUACACAAAAAUGCACAUGCUGUGAGCUCGAUGAGUAGGGCGGGACACGUGGUAUCCUGUCUGAAUAUGGGGGGACCAUCCUCCAAGGCUAAAUACUCCUGACUGACCGAUAGUGAACCAGUACCGUGAGGGAAAGGCGAAAAGAACCCCGGCGAGGGGAGUGAAAAAGAACCUGAAACCGUGUACGUACAAGCAGUGGGAGCACGCUUAGGCGUGUGACUGCGUACCUUUUGUAUAAUGGGUCAGCGACUUAUAUUCUGUAGCAAGGUUAACCGAAUAGGGGAGCCGAAGGGAAACCGAGUCUUAACUGGGCGUUAAGUUGCAGGGUAUAGACCCGAAACCCGGUGAUCUAGCCAUGGGCAGGUUGAAGGUUGGGUAACACUAACUGGAGGACCGAACCGACUAAUGUUGAAAAAUUAGCGGAUGACUUGUGGCUGGGGGUGAAAGGCCAAUCAAACCGGGAGAUAGCUGGUUCUCCCCGAAAGCUAUUUAGGUAGCGCCUCGUGAAUUCAUCUCCGGGGGUAGAGCACUGUUUCGGCAAGGGGGUCAUCCCGACUUACCAACCCGAUGCAAACUGCGAAUACCGGAGAAUGUUAUCACGGGAGACACACGGCGGGUGCUAACGUCCGUCGUGAAGAGGGAAACAACCCAGACCGCCAGCUAAGGUCCCAAAGUCAUGGUUAAGUGGGAAACGAUGUGGGAAGGCCCAGACAGCCAGGAUGUUGGCUUAGAAGCAGCCAUCAUUUAAAGAAAGCGUAAUAGCUCACUGGUCGAGUCGGCCUGCGCGGAAGAUGUAACGGGGCUAAACCAUGCACCGAAGCUGCGGCAGCGACACUAUGUGUUGUUGGGUAGGGGAGCGUUCUGUAAGCCUGUGAAGGUGUGCUGUGAGGCAUGCUGGAGGUAUCAGAAGUGCGAAUGCUGACAUAAGUAACGAUAAAGCGGGUGAAAAGCCCGCUCGCCGGAAGACCAAGGGUUCCUGUCCAACGUUAAUCGGGGCAGGGUGAGUCGACCCCUAAGGCGAGGCCGAAAGGCGUAGUCGAUGGGAAACAGGUUAAUAUUCCUGUACUUGGUGUUACUGCGAAGGGGGGACGGAGAAGGCUAUGUUGGCCGGGCGACGGUUGUCCCGGUUUAAGCGUGUAGGCUGGUUUUCCAGGCAAAUCCGGAAAAUCAAGGCUGAGGCGUGAUGACGAGGCACUACGGUGCUGAAGCAACAAAUGCCCUGCUUCCAGGAAAAGCCUCUAAGCAUCAGGUAACAUCAAAUCGUACCCCAAACCGACACAGGUGGUCAGGUAGAGAAUACCAAGGCGCUUGAGAGAACUCGGGUGAAGGAACUAGGCAAAAUGGUGCCGUAACUUCGGGAGAAGGCACGCUGAUAUGUAGGUGAAGUCCCUCGCGGAUGGAGCUGAAAUCAGUCGAAGAUACCAGCUGGCUGCAACUGUUUAUUAAAAACACAGCACUGUGCAAACACGAAAGUGGACGUAUACGGUGUGACGCCUGCCCGGUGCCGGAAGGUUAAUUGAUGGGGUCAGCGCAAGCGAAGCUCUUGAUCGAAGCCCCGGUAAACGGCGGCCGUAACUAUAACGGUCCUAAGGUAGCGAAAUUCCUUGUCGGGUAAGUUCCGACCUGCACGAAUGGCGUAAUGAUGGCCAGGCUGUCUCCACCCGAGACUCAGUGAAAUUGAACUCGCUGUGAAGAUGCAGUGUACCCGCGGCAAGACGGAAAGACCCCGUGAACCUUUACUAUAGCUUGACACUGAACAUUGAGCCUUGAUGUGUAGGAUAGGUGGGAGGCUUUGAAGUGUGGACGCCAGUCUGCAUGGAGCCGACCUUGAAAUACCACCCUUUAAUGUUUGAUGUUCUAACGUUGACCCGUAAUCCGGGUUGCGGACAGUGUCUGGUGGGUAGUUUGACUGGGGCGGUCUCCUCCUAAAGAGUAACGGAGGAGCACGAAGGUUGGCUAAUCCUGGUCGGACAUCAGGAGGUUAGUGCAAUGGCAUAAGCCAGCUUGACUGCGAGCGUGACGGCGCGAGCAGGUGCGAAAGCAGGUCAUAGUGAUCCGGUGGUUCUGAAUGGAAGGGCCAUCGCUCAACGGAUAAAAGGUACUCCGGGGAUAACAGGCUGAUACCGCCCAAGAGUUCAUAUCGACGGCGGUGUUUGGCACCUCGAUGUCGGCUCAUCACAUCCUGGGGCUGAAGUAGGUCCCAAGGGUAUGGCUGUUCGCCAUUUAAAGUGGUACGCGAGCUGGGUUUAGAACGUCGUGAGACAGUUCGGUCCCUAUCUGCCGUGGGCGCUGGAGAACUGAGGGGGGCUGCUCCUAGUACGAGAGGACCGGAGUGGACGCAUCACUGGUGUUCGGGUUGUCAUGCCAAUGGCACUGCCCGGUAGCUAAAUGCGGAAGAGAUAAGUGCUGAAAGCAUCUAAGCACGAAACUUGCCCCGAGAUGAGUUCUCCCUGACCCUUUAAGGGUCCUGAAGGAACGUUGAAGACGACGACGUUGAUAGGCCGGGUGUGUAAGCGCAGCGAUGCGUUGAGCUAACCGGUACUAAUGAACCGUGAGGCUUAACCUUACAACGCCGAAG